rnacentral:lncRNA from 1 species
CUUUUCUGUACCAUUUUUUUGUUUAAAUAAUACCAUUUACCAAAAAUAUGAAAGAUCUCGACUUUUCCUUGGCAGGUGCGGUCCGGGAAAAAUUCCCAUCCGUUUUUUCCCACACAGGAUGCAAAUGUAACAGAACCGAAUAGGAAACCUUCAAACGAAAAUUCGAUUUCAUGCAAAACACAAACGGGAAAUCGGGAAACACAAAACUGGAAACCCCAAAACGAGUAUCGAGGCCUCUCGUGAGGAUAAAACGAAGGACGAACAUGUGCGCUUCCCACAGACUCUCAUCAGCAGGUUGAUGGUGGAAGUGUCGCUACUUAAAGAUGCGAACUUCACUUCCGUGUGAAUUUUUUUUUCGGAUUUCGCACAACAACAACAGCUGGCUAGUUAAUCCUUUGCCAGUUGUUAGACGCAGGAUUCCUCGACUUUCGCUUAAUUGGAAGGAGUAGCAGCAGCAGCAGUCGAAGGCGAAACCGCAGCAGUUGCUGUCUCUUUGUUAUUGAAUUCGAAACUUAUCGGAAAUCUUUUUUGGGCCUGAGAACGGAAACGCGACUGGGAUCUUCGCAGCACCCUGUUUGCCAAAACUGAGAACGCAGAGGGUCAGAUCAAAUCAAGGAUCGCCGAGUGCGAGGGUGGAUCAGGUGCAUUGCAUAAUCUUCGCCUUUGUAUCCCCCUGCACACAUCAUCUGUGGGAAUAUCUUUCGUUUUUUGGCGGGGGGAUCCUUGUGCAAACGGCUCAGAACGGAAGUCGUUUAGCGUGGGAAGUCCUAGGAGCAAAUAGAGCUGCCGAAGGGGUUGCUCAUCCAAUCUAAAUCUAAUUCCGGUGGGGACUACAGGUGGGGAAUUAAUUGAAUUUCUAGACAAUUGCAAUAAAAUAAUAUUUAUUUUAG